UACGGAGGGGGCUAGCGUUGUUCGGAAUUACUGGGCGUAAAGCGCACGUAGGCGGCUUUGUAAGUUAGAGGUGAAAGCCCGGGGCUCAACUCCGGAACUGCCUUUAAGACUGCAUCGCUUGAAUCCAGGAGAGGUGAGUGGAAUUCCGAGUGUAGAGGUGAAAUUCGUAGAUAUUCGGAAGAACACCAGUGGCGAAGGCGGCUCACUAGACUGGUAUUGACGCUGAGGUGCGAAAGCGUGGGGAGCAAACAGG
rnacentral:rRNA from 1 species